GUUUUUAGUUUAAGGCCUACAGAUAUUCCUAACCUACACAGGUAGGCUUGGUGUUUGCUAGUAUGAUUAUCCAGCCCUGAGUAACAGAAUUAAAGGUUUCUCUAUUAGACACAGAGGUCAUACUAAUAAAAGGAUUUUACAUGAUCAGAUGAUAUUAUUAAACUGUGUCUUAUGGAAAAGGACAUCUGUAACACUAAAAGUUUAAUGUUGUGUUUACAUUCCUGAUAACUUUAAGACUGUUAAAGAUUUACAUUUCUAUAUAAAGGCCUUGUCCACUCUGGCCUUAUUAUGGAGACAGCUUCUCCUGGUAAAUAUAUAUAUACUAACUUCUCAGCCCUCACACCUCCUGGUGAGGGAACUUCUAUACAGCAACAUGUUCCAGCUGUUGCAACACUUAUUCAGUACUCAUGGUUUUUGUUUUUUUCUCAUAGAAGCACCCAUCCCCAGAUGACUUUACAACCUGUUCUUCCCCAACCAGACUUCAAACCGAAUUGACUUCUAAAAGGAAACUCAUGUCCCUGACGCUGUGCCCCCUCACGUCACCCUCUCUCAGCUCAGAAGAAGCCAAAAGGAGCGACUCCCCUCUUCUUACAACAAUGGAGACAUUCCCUCAGUGCUCUUCCCCUACCCUAUCAAAGAUUUGAAAGGGACACAUAGGAAAAGGGGGAAUGAUAGACCCAACCUGAUCUUUCUUAAAAUUGGGAGCCAUCUAGCCACAAAGCCAUGAAAAGAUAAUUUCGGCUUUACUAUAAAUUACUGCAAAUUCUGAACCUGCUUGGAUGCCUGCCCAUGCCUUGAACUCACCCAUGCCUGGCUCUCUGACCAGAUAGCAGCCCUCUCUGAAACUUUAAUGAUGCCUCAUAAAUCUUGGCAUUCCCAGACAAUGACCCUCUCUGAGGCUCUAAUGACCCUCAUAAAUCUGAUGUUGGGGCCAGCAAAAAAUGUAAACUACCAUCAGUGUUAUGUUCAUCAGAGUUCUGUUAUAUGUAACCCCCCUUUGUGUAACUUUCCGGACUAUAAAGCUGGGCUGCAGGAAAGCUGCUGUGGCU
rnacentral:lncRNA from 1 species